rnacentral:lncRNA from 1 species
UGUGAUUGUUGAAGUAUUAGUGAUAAGCAUGCUGCCCGGUUGAGUUAUGUGAUGAACUUGAGGUUUGAUACUUGAGAUUUGGGAUUUUGAGAUUGAAAAUUUUGUGUUUUUGUUGGAUGAAAUUUGGAAUGACAAAUAAGAGUAACAACGAGUAAAAAGCCACAUAUAUGUGAGAAUUGAGCUUAUUAGAGUAGAGCACUCUC